CUUUUCGGCUGGAAUGGGGAAUUUGUGAGGUCAAGGAUGCAUUCCAGGAAAGUUCCAUAAAAAUAUACCAUCAACUCCAACCUGAUAUUUGACCUAGCUGUGGAAAACCUCAUUGGCUCCUCACUAGAUCAGACCAUAAAAAUGAUUCAGGAAUGAAAAUCUAAGAUAAAUUCCCACCACUUCAAGAUGUUCUUAUACAAGUCAACAGUCUAGCAGAUCAGCCAGUCUCUUUCAUCAUCAAGCAGACAUACUCAAGUGCCAAUUAUAACAUUUUAAUCAAACUGGAACAAAUUGCUAUUAAAAUGGAUCAUUUCUUUAUUAAAAGAAAGAGGAAUAGUGAAGUGAAAUAUACAGAAGCAUGUUCAAGUUCAUCUGUUGAAUGUGGAAUUGUGAAUAGUGACAAUAUUGAGAAAAAUACUGACUCCAAUCUGCAAACUUCAACUUCAUUUGAGCCACAUUUCAAAAAAAAAAAAGUAAGUGCAAGACGUUAUAAUGAAGAUUACUUAAAAUAUGGCUUUAUCAAAUGUGAAAAACCCUUUGAAAAUGACAGACCUCAGUGUGUUAUUUGUAAUAAUAUUCUUGCGAAUGAAAGCUUAAAACCUUCGAAAUUAAAAAGGCACUUAGAAACUCAGCAUGCUGAACUUAUUGACAAGCCUCUUGAAUAUUUUCAAAGAAAGAAAAAAGACAUAAAGUUAUCAACACAAUUUCUUAGUUGUUCUACUACUGUUAGUGAGAAAGCCUUAUUAUCAUCAUAUUUAGUUGCAUAUCGUGUGGCAAAAGAAAAA
rnacentral:sRNA from 1 species